GACGAACGCUGGCGGCGUGCUUAACACAUGCAAGUUGAACGGGUCAUAUAUGAAGGGUAACCGGAGUGUAUGGCUAGUGGCGAACGGGUGAGUAAUGCAUGAGAACGUAUCCUCAAGAGGGGGACAACAUUGGGAAACCGAUGCUAAUACCCCAUAAGCCGGGAGGUAAAAGGAGCAAUCCGCUUGAGGAGCGGCUCAUGUCCUAUCAGCUGGUUGGUGAGGUAACGGCUCACCAAGGCGAAGACGGGUAGCCGGCCUGAGAGGGUGAACGGCCACACUGGAACUGAGAGACGGUCCAGACUCCUACGGGAGGCAGCAGUGGGGAAUAUUGGGCAAGUGGGGGAAACCCUGACCCAGCGACGCCGCGUGAGGG
rnacentral:rRNA from 1 species